UGUCAUGUUUCUGCAUGUUUGAAAUUCAAAUAGGACGAGUACAUAGAUACUACUACAAUAUUACACAAGAAAAAUUGGACAGCACUUCAACAGCACAUAUUCUGUUUGGGCAUUUUCAAAUAGGAUAGCACUUAUUCAUUUAAAUAAGUAAAUAACAAGCAACAAUAGGCAGUACAACAAUACAUAACUACAUAUAUGAGUGCACAAAUAAACUACAGCCAUCUCAACAUCAUGUGUACACAAGAUUGCAGUUGAUAGUCUCAGUCACCAGUCCACAAAUAAACUUAGAUAGUAGUCCACAAAUAAACUUGGAUACUGGAUAGGCAGCACAACAGGUCCAGAAUAACACAAAUAAGCUUAGUUCUACACUUCUACUUCAAUUUCUUAGUCUUACAGUCUUACACUCUUAGUCUCUUACUAGUUACUACUUUGCUUGCAAACAGCCAAACACCAAUCAACCAAAAUAAGGUAGUUCUUAGCCAGCUUUUUGAUUCUCUCAUAAGUCACAAGUCACAACCAAAAUAAGGCCGUAGGCUUCUAGCAAGCAACACACAGUACUAGGAAUGAGAUUGUUAAAAGGCCUAGGGUUCAAGGCUGCAUCAGGUCUUCCUCAUCAUAAUUUGUUCUAUCCCCCCAACCAUGUCAUUAUCAAACUCAAACUCAAUCUCAUCUUCAUUGAUAGGCACAGUGUCAUCUUCAUUAAUGGAAACAAAGUCUUCCACUUCAUGGAGCUCUCUCACCCUUAGACUUCUACGAGGCUCUGUUGUAUUGUCAACUCUGGUAGUUCCCAUCUCUUCAUCAUCGUAAGCAUCUUCACAUAUCCAAUCUUGGGCUGUGGAAGCAUCUUCACCAAGGAGAACAUCACAAGAUGAGGAGUAUUUCUUUCUUUUGUCUAGAAAUCUUCCAUUGAAUUGAAUAUAAACUAGAUCGUCCCUACGACGCACAUCUAAUUUAUUUCUCCUCUUUGCAUCAACCUAAUUGCAUAGUGAAGGUUAGUGAUUCACAUCUUGUCAUAAAUGAAAAAAUGGAUCAGUAUUUGUAGGUUGAGACUUACUUGUUCAAAAACGCUCCAAUUUCUUUCACACUCUUUGCAGAUCAUCUGGAUCAAUCAGCAUAGCAAACUCCCAUGCCAUGUCAUCCGAGUUUCUCUUCAGUCUGGAACUUGCAACCUCAGAAGCACUGGAAGCAGCCAUCUAAAAAAAGGGCAACAACAUGUAUGAGAAUCAGACUAAUAAAAGGGCAACUUAUUCUGUAUAUGAUUGAUGGUUCUUAGUCUGUACAUAAAAGAAAAGGGCAACAACAUAGAAGGGAAACGUAUCCUGUACAUGAUUAUGUACAACAAAUCUAAAAUAUUGUACUACACAAUUACAUUGUAAUUGAACAUAGCGGACAAAUCCAUCUAAUGAAGUACAGUAGUAGGCAGUAGCAAGCAAGUAUUGACUAAAGAAAUGACAGUAGCGAGCUUAAUUUUGGAAGGGGAGGUCACAAUCCCCUUUGGCCUCCACGAGCAUCCGCCGGUGCUUACAAGUUACAACCAGAGUUAUUGACUGAAGAUAUGACAGUAGCUGGCACUCAUUUUUAUCUUCUGAAGAAAUGACAACAGCUGUAGUUUUAGAACUUAAAAGAGGAGAGCGGCGCAACAAAGAAACCAUACCAGGAUGUUGUCUUGCUGCUGUAGAAGGGAUGGUGUGUAUAGCUGCUGUCGUUCGUCGUAGUAGGAAGCAGAGGAUGGAGCCGCUCCGCAGCUCUGAAGGAAGAGUGGCCGCGCCGAGCAUCACCAGCCGUCGGCCAUGGAGAAAAUAUGUGUGGCCCGGUGCUUCUUGAGGAAGAGUGGCGCAACUCCGGUGCUGGUACAGGAAGAGGGGCACAGCUCCGGUGCUGCUGUAGCAAGGUAAGGCGACGGGGAGCAGGUCCGGUCGUCGAUGAUUGGGAGAUGCAGAGGAGGCGCGAUGGCGAUGCAGAGAGUUGGAGAUGGUGCUGCCGCGUUGGUGGUUGAGGUCCCGUGGAAGAGGAGAGGAGGAUCCAGAGGGCGCCUAGCUCGAGUGGUGGUAGCUAGGGCCGCCGCCGGCGACCAGCGUGACGGCGGCUUGUGGAUCUAGCAUCGCAGCGCGCUGGGAGGUUGAAACCCUAACUCAGCGAGGGGAAAUCCCAAAUGUGGGUUGCGGCUGUGCGGGAAGGCCACCGAAGAGGGCCUAAGGGAGCCAAAAUUCAACCUUUCGGGCUUUCUAACGUUAGGGGCCCAGCCCGAUUAAUCGGGAAUCUAGCGAUUUAUCGCCUGUCAGAGCGAUAAAUCGGUCCGAACGAUAAAUAACAAAGAUAAGGCUUUAUCUUGGCGGUCACCACACGAUAAGCGAUAAAUCGGCCGAUAAAUCGCUGAGUCGGCCGAUUUCUUUCAAUUGGUAUCAGAGCCUCGUGCUCUAUUCUUGUGGCUUAACCGCCCUAGAGCGAGAUGAACCCCGAUGUGACUCCCCUUGUUGCAGAUCCGAAGAAUACGGGCGCGGCUUCCACGGAAGCCAAGUCCUUCACUUCAGAGGAUCUGGAACGAGAUCUUGCUAAGCAAAAGGAGGAGCAUGAUGCCUCUCUUGAGGCCUUGGUCCAAAUGAGGUUAGCCACACUAACCACGAUGCUUACACCACUUUCUGGCGGUGCGGCCUCGAGGCCAGCUGUGACUACUCCUUCACUUGGCCAACAACCUCCUAGCAAUGAACACUCCAGUGUUCCUUAGCUUUAUGCAAGACCUCAAAUAGAGAAACCUAAGUAUAACCCUCAAGGCAAACCUCCUUUACUUGAUGAAACUACCGAUUUUGCUUUGUGGAGAGUUGCUAUGCAGGAUCAUCUUCGAUAUGGAAAUGAUGAGAUGCUGGAGAUCUUGGAGUAUGGCUACCAAGUUGUUGACCUGAAGAAUCUUACUCCAAGAGAGGUAUAUGACAAGCAUCUCAACGACACAACAACCAUGUGCAUAAGAAGAGGUAUGACCGACAAGCAAAGGAGACCAUACAUACAUAUCACAAGUGCCAAGGAAUUAUGGGAUACCAUUGUGAGAACCAAGACCGGUACCUCCACUCUCCGGCUUGCUCAAUAUGAAAUUGCCAAGGGUCAAUUGCAAAAAUUUUGUACGGAGAAAGGUGAAUCUCCCAAGCAACUACUUGAGCGUCUCAUGACUCUCACCGCCGACACUGAGUCAUGUGAAUGUGACAAGGCUCAAGAUGGAUUUCUCGUGGAUAAGUUGCUUCAUGCUCUUGCUCCAUAUCAUCACCAAAUGGUGUGGGACAUAAGACAACACCAUGGAUUCAAGGAAAUGACUCCAGAUGACAUCAUAUCCACUUUCCAACUAUUUGAAGAGUCAAAGGCAAAUGCCACAAAGCAUCUUGCCAUGCAUGGUACCUCAACAUGAAAGAUCAAUCUUGCAUUGAAGGCCAAGCAUGUAUGUGAAGAAGAGCAAAGUGAAGAAGAAGAAGAAGAUGAAGAUGAUGAGGAUGGUGAUGAGAUUGAUUCAGAUGAGAGCCUGUCAUAUGAAGACAUUGCUCUCUUUGUCAACAAGUUUAGCGCGGGAAAAUUCAAGGGAAGAUUCCAGAAGAAGAAAGUGAGGAAAUGCUACAACUGUGAAGAAACCAACCACUUAUCCAAUGAGUGCCCUUAUGAGAAGAGAGAAGAUAAACCAAGGUUUCCCAAGACCUUUCCCAAGAAUAAGUUUCCAAAUCCUUAGAACUCCAAGCUCAAGAAGAGAGAUGGGAAAGCAAUGGUUGCUCAUGAAGAAUCCGAUCCGGAUGAUGUUAGUGGUGUUGCCGGAGUUGCUCAAGAUUCUCAAAACACGUUGAGGCUAGUCAACAAGAGUGGUGAUGUUGUCACCUACAACUAUAUGAAGGACUACAAGGGCAACGCUCACAAGUGCCUAAUGGCAAAGGCUGUGGUAGAAGAUGGAGAGGACCAAAGCUCUCCUGACAAGGUCAAGGUAACCCCACGAUCAAACCCUCCUCUUUUCACUCCUCCUACUCCUAGUGAUGAGUAUCUUGAUGCGGAGGAUAAUUAUGAGGAUGAUGAUAUAGAUGAUCCUAUGCUUGCUAAACUAAAUAAGUUCAUGUGCUCCCUCAAAGGAAAGAAGCUCACUAUGUUUCGUAUGCUUAUGGAGAUGGUGAGUAAGCACACCAUCACCAUUAAGGAACUCGAAACCCUCAUCACCGAGGAAAAGGAAAAAUAUGAAAUCCUUGAACGGAAAGUCCAAUAUGAGGAAGCACGAAAUGAUGAACUAUGCUUGAAAAUUGGUGCAAACAUUGAUGUUCAUACUAAAGAUCUUGCCUCCUUGAAAAAGGCUAUUGACUCUUGCGAAGAGUUGAUGAAUGAUAAAAGUAAGCUUGUGAAGUCUCAUGCUUCUCUCUCUAAGGAUUGUGAGCUCCUAUCCAUGUCCCUCAAGACUAAGGAAGAAGAGCUCACCAUUCUUACAAAGAGUUUUGAGAUGCUCAAGAUUCUUAUCUUGAAACUCUAGCCAAGGCUUACUCUUCUCCUAUUAUCAAUGUUGAUGCUUGUACUACUAACUCUAGUAGUGAUCUAGCAUCUAUUCUUGAGGAGAAUCGAUUUGUCAAGGCUCAAAUCGAGAAAGGUCUCAUGACAUGUCCUCAAGGACAAAAGAACCUCAAUGAGGUAUUGAGCCAACACAAUGAGGUGUUUGCCAAAGAGGGGCUCGGCUUUGACCUAAGCACAAGCAAGAAGAAGACGUCCUCUCAAAAGUGCACCACCCCUCUAAAAUAAACAUUUGUACAAGAAGGGCACAAGGAGAAAGGUAAGGUUGUUGGUGGGAAGGCCACGAGGGGCAUGCCCACUCUCAACAAGCCAAAAUAGUUCAUGCAUCCAUCCUAUGUACAUCGUAAGACUAAGGAUGGAGAAGUUUAUGCAAAGUUUGUUGGUCCUCGAAAUGCAUUCCGGUUUUAUGCUAUUUGGGUUCCUAAGACCCUCGUGACUAACUUGAGAGGUCCCAUUGCAAAAUGGGUGCCUCUAACCAAGUCAUAAUUUUGUGUAGGUUGCCUUCUCCGGUGGAGUAAAAUGGGUGAUUGAUAGUGGAUGUACCAAUCAUAUGACCGGAGAUAGCAAAUUGCUCUACGAUUUCAUGGAAGCUACUCAACCAUUAUGAGCAUUAUGUUUGGUGGAGGAUCAAAAGGACAGGUACUCGGGUUGGGCAAGGUGGCUAUCACAAAUGACAUGUCUCUUGCAAAUGUCAUGCUUGUCCAAUCCCUUAAAUAUCAUUUGCUUUCUGUUCGCCAAUUGGCUUCUGUUGGUUUUGAUACACUCUUUGGACUAACGGAUGUGAAAGUCUUUAAGAGAGAUACUCUCGAAGUGGCCUUUGUUGGAGAGUUGGAUGGCAACCUUUAGACGGUUGAUUUCUUGAAAGAGAGCACAUUCCAUGCAACUUGUCUAAUGGCCAAGGCCGACAAGGGGUUGCUAUGGCAUCGCCGGCUAGCCCAUGUCGGCAUGAGAAAUCUUCAAGAUCUCUUAAAGGGUAAUCACAUCCUUGGACUAACCAAUGUCUCUUUUGAGAAAGAUCGUGUGUGUAGUGCAUGCAUAGCCGGGAAGCAACAUCAAUCAAAGCACCCACCCAUGAAUAUUGUGUCUACUUAAAGGCCUUUGGAGCUCCUUCAUGUGGAUCUUUUUGGGCCUCCUUCAUGGGAUAGUCUUGGUGGGAAAAAGUAUGGGCUUGUCAUUGUUGAUGAUUACUCAAGAUAUACAUGGGUCUUCUUCCUCAAGUCCAAGGACGAGACGAAGAUCACCUUCAUUGAUUUUGCCAAGCAAGCACAACGCAAGUUUGACAAAGAAAUCUUGGCAAUAAGAAGUGAUAAUGGCUCUGAGUUCAAGAACUACACCUUGGAAGAAUUUCUUAGUGAUGAAGGGAUUGAGUAUCAAUAUUCAGCACCAUACACUCCCCAACAAAAUGGUGCAGCACAAAGGAAGAACCGCACACUUGUGGAUAUGGCAAGGUCCAUGUUGGAUGAAUACAAGUCGCCACAUAGUUUUUGGGCCGAGGCUGUCAACACCGCAUGCCAUGCAUCAAACCGGAUCUUCCUCCGCACUAUAUUGGAAAAGACUCCAUAUGAGCUCCUAACUGGGAACAAGCCAAAUGUCAAGUACUUUCGUGUAUUUGGGUGCAAAUGUUUCAUCCUCAACAAAAGAGAACGGUUAGGAAAAUUUCAAUCUAAAACCAUUGAGGGCAUAUUUGUUGGCUAUGGAUCAAACUCUCACGCCUAUAGAGUCUACAACAAAUCCAAUGGAUGUGUUGUAGAAACUUGUGACAUGGUGUUUGAUGAAUUUAAUGGCUCCCAUGGGGAGCGAGUUGAUCUAAGUGAUGUAGGUGAAGAAGAUUCUUCUCAAGAUAUCUUGACCAUGGGUGUUGGUGCACUUCUUCCAAUGGAAAAAGAACCUCAUGAUGAUGAAGAAGAAGAUGGAAGCCUCACGCAUCAUCAAACUACUUCAACACCCAUACCACCACAAGCUCCUAUUGCUCAACCAAUGCUCGUAGACCAAGUACAAGAUGAUGAUCAAGUUCCUCUUCAUGAUAAUCAUCAAGAACAAGAUCAUCCUGAAGGGCAAGAACAAGAAAGUGCGAUAAUUGACGAUGAACCUCAACAAAUGCAAGAUGAAGAAGAAUAUCUUCCACCACACAUUAAUGAUCCAUAUGUUGAGGACGUGGAUGAUGGACAUGAAGUUGAACCUCGUGAAACUCUUACCUCCAUCAUGCCUCGAGUGGCCGGUCAUGUUGAUGUUGACAAAAUUCUCACCGGCAUAUCGGAAGGUAGAGUCACUCGUAAACAUUUGACAAACUUUUGUGCUCACUUCUCAUUUAUGUCUAGUGUUGAGCCUCUCAAGGUACAAGAUGCAUUGAUGGACAAUGAUUGGCUCGUUGCUAUGCAAGAAGAGUUGAACAGUUUUGAACGCAACCAAGUGUGGUCAUUAGUCAAGAGGCCAACUACCGAGCACAACGUCAUUGGAUUUUCAAGAACAAGCAAGAUGAGAAUGGUGUAAUCAUUCGUAACAAGGCAAGGUUAGUGGCACAAGGGUACUCACAAGUUGAAGGUUUGGACUUUGGUGAGACCUUUGCCCCCGUUGCCCGUCUUGAAUCCAUUCGCAUCUUACUUGCUUAUUCUGCUUUCAAUGGUUUUACAUUACAUCAAAUGGAUGUGCAGAGUGCUUUCCUUAAUGGUCCUCUACAAGAAGAAGUAUAUGUAUCACAACCACCUGGGUUCGUUGAUCCCGAUCACAAAGACUAUGUGUAUAAACUUCAUAAGGCUUUGUAUGGCCUCAAACAAGCACCUCGUGCUUGGUAUGAUCAUCUUAAGAAGUUUUUACUAGAUGAUGGUUUUGUGAGAGGGGUGAUCGAUCCCACUCUUUUUACUAAGAGGGACAAGGGUGAUUUGAUCUUAUGCGAAAUCUAUGUAGAUGAUAUCAUUUUUGGUUCUCCUAACAUUCAUUUGUGCAAGAAGUUUGCGGCUUCCAUGACCAAGAAUUUUGAAAUGUCACUCAAUGCGGAUUUGAAGUUCUUCCUCGGAUUUCAAAUUCAACAAUUUCAAGAAGGAAAUUUCUUGUCUCAAGCAAAAUACCUCAAGGAUAUCCUAGAGAAGUUUGGCAUGUCUAAUGCUAGUCCAUGUAAGACACCCAUGCCAACCAAAAUUGCACUCACUGAAGACACAAAUGGUAUUCCUUUCGACCCAUCUAUUUACCGCUCUAUGAUUGGUUCAUUGCUUUAUCUUUGUGCAUCUAGACCAGACAUCAUGUUUAGUGUAUGCAUGUGUGCUAGAUUUCAAGCUUCUCCUAGGGAAAUUCAUCAUAAGGCGGUUAAGCAUAUUCUUAGAUACCUUGUUCACACCCCAAAGUUGGGUCUAUGGUACCCCAAGGAUGCUAAGUUUGAUCUCAUUGGGUACACGGAUGCGGAUUGGGCUGGAGACAAAGUGGAUCGUAAGUCCACCUCCUGCGCAUGUCAGUUUCUUGGAUGCUCCUUGGUAAGUUGGUCCUCGAAGAAACAAAAUUGUAUUGCCCUCUCUACCGCAGAAGCUGAAUACAUUGCAACCGCCAGUUGUGCAACUCAAUUACUAUGGAUGAGGCAAACCUUGAAGGAUUACGGUAUCACCUAUAGGCAUGUGCCUCUUCUAUGUGAUAAUGAAAGUGCCAUCAAUAUUGCUGAGAACCCCAAAGAUCAUACCCGCACCAAGCACAUUGAUAUUAGGUAUCACUUCUUGAGAGAUCAUGCGGAGAAGGGUGAUAUUGACAUUGCUCAUGUUGGCACAGAUAUGCAACUUGCAGAUAUUUUCACCAAGCCAUUGGAUGGAGCAAGGUUUUGUCGACUUAGGCGUGAACUUGGUAUCUUGGAGCUUGACAAUAUUAUGUGAAAUCUAGUACCCAUUCAUGCAUGAACUUAAUGUCUUGUCUUGAUGUAGGCAUAUAUUUAGGGGGAGUACCUCAAUUCAUGAGUACUCUCACCCUAUGCAAUGCAUAGAUAGAACAAACACUCUCAAAGCUACCAUGUUAUUCUAACUAUGGUGCUUUCAAUGAUGGAGUAGUGAUCAUGCACCCAAAGUUCCAAUCUUUGCGGAGCCAUGUCACGUAUACUCAUACAUGGUGGCAUUGGCCACCGCUCUUCUCAUUAGAACAAUAUCUGAGCGGUGUGUGUUUUAUUAUUGUUGGCAUAGGAUACUCAUUGCUUAACAUAUUAUGUCUUUGCAACUUACUACUUACUGUAAUCAUCAUCUCCCCAUCAUGGUUAUUAGCACCAAUAAUUGCAACCUACUCCUCUCAAAAAAUUCUAUAUACUUCCGGACGUCUGCUAUGUACCGGACGUCUGUAAAAUCCUUGUUGUUGCCCUCAUACCAGACGUCCGGCAAGUCUGGACUUCCUUUAAUUUCUGCCAUGUCUCAUCCCGUCGGAUGUCCGCUGUUUCCGGUCGUCUGCUAUCUGGCGCUCUGGUAGAUUUUCUCAGGUCCCGGACGUCCGUUCCACACCGGUCGCCCUAUGCUGAGUGCGUGUUGGGCAGUUCCUAAACCUAAUCCAUCCCAUUCCUCAUCUGUUCCCCGAUGCCGCCGCUCACUCUCCUUGCUGAGGUCGCGCGCCGGCCGUGCUCGUCGCCGUCUUCACGCGGGCUGGGUCGUCCUGGUCGGCAUAGGGCCUCCGGCCGCCGCCCCGUCGUUCCCUUCCCCAUCCUGUUCGUCCUCCGAGGUAGCACCUCCUCUUAUUCUCCUCUCUUCAACCGCACUCCUCUUCAAUCUAUGAAUGUGUUAGGUGAUUUGGGUCUUCCUCCUCCUCUAGGUCGAGAUGCCAAGGACCAAGCGCUCCGCAUGCAAGCAGGUCACUGGUGGGUCGUCUCAUCAUGGUGGCUCUGAUGAUUCACAAGAGCGAAACCGUCCUCGGAAGCGUGCCGCCCACCCUCACAUCCCACCCUCGCCCAGCGACUCCUCUUCAGAGGAAUCCGACUAUGAGGAUGAACUGGAAGAUUUGGAGCAGCCCGCGUAUGUUGCUGUUCGCGCCACUGCACCCAAGCUAGGAACCCGUCAGCCCACCUUCAAGCCUCCUCCUCCGGUGCAACCUCAAGGUGAUGCCCGUCGCAUCUCUCUUGAACCUCCACUUCCUCUCGGCCGCAACAUUAAACGGUUCAAUGAGGUUCCCAUAGCUUCUUAUCUUACGCUUCGUCGUGACAUUCGACUCACAAGAUGCUCGCUUUCGCACUAAUGUCCAGGCAGACAUUUUUACCACUAUCAUCAUUCCUAAGGGUCUCUCUCUUCAUUUAUGCAUUGACUUAGAGCAGAUUCAUGCUCAUCCGGCGAAAUAUCCGGGGGCUAUUGAGCUCAUUGAGUCAUCUAAUCUUGCUACUCCAUUUGCAUUUCAACAUGAUUUUAACCAAGCUGCCAUUCAUCAAUUCUAUGCCACAUGUUACUUUGGUCCAAAUAACACUGUCACUUGGAUGACCUCUGACACCGUGCUCACGAUGUCUUAUUCUCAAUUUGUUGCUGCCCUUGGGUUUCCUGACACCGGUUUCAAAAUCCGUAAGGAUGACCCCAACCAUAGGCCCAAGGGCAUUGACGUCUGUGCAGAUCUUCUCAAACCAAUAGAAGAUAUGACUAAUGAGGAGAAACGAAAGGGUCUGAACCAAGUCUCCAUUUGGCGCUCACCUUUCUACAUCAUCUAUCAGUGUGUCAUUCGCACCAUCUAUCCCAAGAUGGGUGACAAGGGGUCUUGCAAUAGCUACUACAUUGAUCUCAUGCAUCGCCUCUAUGCAUCUUCAAAGGGGAAGAUAAAUGUUCCUCAUUUUCUAUGGCAUGAGAUCCGUCUCGCUAGUUUUCAGCACAAGCGGGUCUUUCCUCAUGCCCCCUUUCUUCAGGCUUUUAUCGAGAGUGUUGCUCCUUUUCCCAUUGCCCGCACUCACUUGCAUGAGCGGUGGGUCAUUCAACCUCACAUGUCGGAUGUUUGGGUCCCCAAGGACUCUUCUGCUCCUACUCGUCGUAAUGCAGCUAGUGUUCCUCCUCCUCCUGCUCGUUCUACUCCUUCCAGAUCUGCAUCCUUUGGGUGCAUUGCUCGCUUUCUUGGGAAGGCUCGCUCUGCCAUGAUGAAGGUGUUUACCUUUCAUUGCUCCCAAAAUCACGACGUUGUCACUCGCAUGGUCACUUCCAAGAAUGCUCUGAAGGCUCGUCUGAGAGACCCCAGAGUUUACGAUGUGAGUGACGAUGAACGUCUCCCUGAUGAACCACCUUCUGACUUUGGUUUUCCCUCGGGUCCUGAGUGGGUUGACUUCUUUGACGAGGCUGGUGGCAGUGGUGCUCAUGAUGAUGAUGAUGAUGAUCCUCUUUGAUGAUGUUAUGAGCCCUUUUGGGUAUUUGAUGCCAAGGGGGAGUAGGCACUUAUCUAUGUCAAGCUAUGAUAUUAGCUUGUAUCAAACUCAUGUUAUGUCUUUUAUCGACUUAUGUUCUAUGCUAUGGUACUAGCUUGAUCGAACUCAUGUUAUGUCCUUUAUCGACUUAUGUUCUAUGCUAUAUCAGUGAUGAACCUACAUGGAGCCUAUGCGGGUAUGCUGGUUUUAUGUUAUCUUGUUUAUGAGAUUUGUUUCUGAUGGUAUCAAAUUAAGGGGGAGCUCUCCUCAUGCUUAUUUUAUGUAUGCACAUGUUUUGGGGGAGCCCCACAACAAAUCCCUUCGAUAUUCCAAGUUUUUGUUGACAUAUUGAGAAGUGCAUGUAUGUUGUCAUCAGCUACCAAAAAGGGGGAGAUUGAAAGUGCAAUCAUGCCCUUAAUCGUAUUUUGAUGUUGAUGAUAACAUGCAUUUUGGGACUAAUCAUGUUUAUCAAGUAUAUCUCAGGAUUAUGUCUCAAGGGCCAUGUGUGGAUCAUGACUACGGACAAAAGUAUAUAUAUAUAUAUAUAUAUAUAUAUAUAUAUAUAUAUCACUCAAGAGCAGAGAUACAAGACAAAGACAAAAAGCUUCGGCUCUUUUUCGAUUCGUUCUUGAGUAUAGGGAUCCCGCACUAUUAAGAGGGGAUCAUUGGAUUUCAUGAAAGAACUUGCUCAAAGCCACAUAAUAUCCUCACACAUCAUCUCUGUGCCAUCUUAAAUUCUUCCUCUAACGUAUGCACAAAUUCUGGUAUGGUUCUAAGCUAGUAAGUUCAGCUAUCACCGGACGUCCGACGUUCUACGGACGUCCGACCCCUCACAGCCGACCGGGCAUUCGGCUCUUCCCGGAUGUCCGGUGCCUCCUCACAGAAGCUAAAUUAGCGAAAAUCCGGUCUCACCGGACGACCGGUCACUGGACGUCCGCUCCUCUCCGGAUAUCCGGUUCUGCCUCAAUAGAACAUUAAUUAGCGGAUUUCCGAUCAUACCGCACGUCCGGGCUCCGAACGACCGGCACCUUCCGGACGUCCGGGCUCCGGACAACCGGCGCCUUCUGGACAUCCGCUGGCUGUGUGUCUCUUGCCUCGUCUGUGUCCUGGUAGGUGUUCCAGCGACCGGACGUCCGGUCCAAUCUGAGUCACCGGUCAUCCGGUACCCACCGGACGUCCGUCAGCCCCUGUGCACUAAGUGGCUCAACGGUCUGUUUUGCACUCACACUAUAUAUAGCCUUCUCCCUCCCAUGGGAUAAGGUUGACCAUUCACUUUGAGCUUUCUAAGAACACAUCUCACUCCCUCUCUUGAUUCCCUACACCAAAUCCUAGAUCCCCGAGGGAUUUGGGAACAUUUGAGAGAAGUUCUCCAAUCAAGUGAUAGAUCCACUCCUUCCCCUUCUUCUCACCAAAGGAAUUCGUGGUUUGAGCAAGUUCUUGAGCAUUUACCAACGUUCUUGUUACUCUUGGAGGUUGGAUACUCCUAGGCGUAGGAGUCUUUCGGAGAGGAAUCGACCAUUGUGAUUCCCCCCGGAAAAGUUUGUGAGGGUUUGGAGACCACCCCAAGGUCUACCACUAGUGGUUGAGAAACGCCUUCGUGGUGUUGUCUCAAAGGGAGAAUAGGGUGAGCCUUCGUGGCGUUGGUGUACCUUCGUGGUAACAUCCACAUCUCUAACGGUGACGUAGCUUCCCUCCAAGGAAGUGAACAUUGGCAUAAAUCCUCGUCUCCAGGAGUUGCGGUUAUUCCUAUAACUCUCUACUUGUGGUUACUUGUCUCUUAGCACUUACGUAUAUCAUAUUGUGCUUGCUUACCAUACAUACUUGUGUUACUUGUUUAUCUUGCUUAGUUCUUAGCAUCACACUUGCAAUUGUUAGGCUCACUUUCAUAUACCGCACUAUUGCCUAAAAUUGCUAAGAAAUAAUUAAAAUUUGUAAUUGUACCUAUUCACCCGCCUCUAGGUCCAUCUCGAUCCUUUCAGUUAGCACCUUUUGGAUCGACAAAACCUUUUGGUUGCAUCAUAUACAACUCUUUUUUAAGAUAUCCAUUAAGGAAUGCAGUUUUGACAUCCAUUUGCCAAAUUUUGUAAUCCUAAAAUGCGGCAAUUGCUAAGAUGAUUCGGACAGACUUAAGCAUCGCUAUGGGUGAGAAGGUCUCAUCGUAGUCAUGUAGCGACCAGACCUCAAAUAGUCUGAUCUCUGUGCAUCAGUGUCAUCCCUGGAUCGGUAAUGCUGACAUGCACAGUACUUGAAGGAUUUAUAACAGAGUAGCAAUCACACACUUGUUACAUCGAAUGUCUCAAAAGAGAACUUAUUACAAUAGAUAUGGCUUAAGGCCAUCUAAUACGAUAACAGCGGAAGGCUUGGAAGAUAAAGUGAGUCCAUCAACUCCAACGGCAUCACUGAGUGAAAUACCACGACCUAAGGCUCCUUACUCGUCGUCUGAAAAGUCUGCAACAUGAUACGUUGCAGCCUAAAAAUGGGUCAGCACAUGGAAUAUGCUGGCAAGGCAACAAAAAAGAGUAAUGAAUAGAAUAAAGCUAUCUCUAUAUGCAUAUAUGGCUGGUGGAGGCUGUAUGGUUAAUAUGUUUUGCGAAAAGCCAAUUUUUCCCUACAACAAAGGAAUAAAUUUUAUUUAACUAUCAUGGUGGUUGUUAAACAUUGAGAAGGUUCACCCAACUCAAUCCCAAUUAAGCAUCAUCAUUAAACCGAAUCAAAUUAUAUUAAGAGUGAUGAGAUCCACAUGAUAAUCGAAGAACUAGAUACUCAAGAUGCCCAUAACCGGGGACACGGCUAACCAUGAUUAGUUUGUACACUCUGCAGAGGUUUGUGCACUUUUCCCCACAAGACUCGAUCUCCUCCGUUUGAUUUCUCGCACUACAUGAUGUUUGAGAAACGGAUGACCGAGACACAGUCUUUCCGAAGAGGUCCCCUUAACCGAUAGAUAGGCCUGUACACCUACAAUCCCCUACAUCUGCUAGCCCAUCAUGGAAAGGUUUCCCACAACUUACUCAACUAUGCUAGAGCCCAUAAUGGCAUGUGGCUGCACACGGAAGUUUCUAGCAUGAAUAAUCUUAUGAUCCCUUUGAGCCUGGGUGGCAGUCCAUAGGACAACCACACGGUACCCCGGGAUUUCCAAAAAAUACAGACAACACUGGGUGCCCCAGGUGCCUCAAUCCACCCAGAUGUGUAUUAAGGUUGCCACCUUAAGUUGAACCAUUAAGUAACAAUCUCACAUCUGUCAUGAAUACACUCAAACCCAAUUCACGUCUACGAGCAUAACAUAGCAAUAUAAGCAACGUAGAAGUAACUCCCAUAGGUUUGAUAAUAAACAGGUGAAUAGGUACUACCUCAUCUACUUCCCAAACCCACAAUUUAAUUCAGAUCCUAACCAUGCAAUUGUUUGAGGAUUGAUCUAAUGCAAUAAAACUGGGUAGUAAAGAGGUAUGAUCAAAGUGUUACUUGCCUUGCUGAUGAUCCGUGAAACCUAGAGACUCGUAGUAGCACGCUUCGCACUCCGGGUAUUCUAUCGCAAACAAACAUUUAUUUGGGUCUCUAAUGCAAUUUUGAAAAACGCAUAUUUUUCCUAAUUCAAAUAAAAUAGCGAUAAAACUCCGAAUAAAAUUAUUAUUUGAUUUUAAUAUUAAAUCUCCAAUAUUUCUUUAUUUUGAGGAAGUCAUUUUAUCCUCUCUCUUUUAUUUUUAUAAAAGAAAUAUUCGAAUAGAAAAUAAUUAAAAUCAAACGAUCCUCUUUUCCAAAUUUGAGAAAAACUCAAAUAUGAAAAUACCGAAAUCCUCAACUCUCUCCGUGGGUCCUUGAGUUGCGUAGAAUUUCUAGGAUCAAACCAAAAUGCAAUAAAAUAUGAUAUGCAAAGAUGAUCUAAUGUAUAACAUUCCAAAUUGAAAAUUUGGGAUGUUACAAGUCAACUCCUUGAACUUGUCGAAAACCUUUCACAACAAGUCGAGCUUUGUAGACAGUAACAUUACCGUCAGCGUCAGUCUUCUUCUUGAAGAUCCAUUUAUUCUCUAUGGCGUGCCGAUCAUCGGCAAGUCAACCAAAGUCCACACUUUGUUCUCAUACAUGGAUCCCAUCUCAGAUUUCAUGGCCUCAAACCAUUUCGUGGAAUCUGGGCUCAUCGUCGCUUCCUCAUAGUUCGUAUGUUCAUCAUGGUCAAGUAACAUGACCUCCAGAACAGGAUUACCGUACCACUCUCGUGCAGAUCUUACUCUGGUUGACCUACGAGGUUCAGUAGUAACUUGAUCAGAAGCUUCAUGAUCAUCAUCAUUAGCUUCCCCACUAAUUGGUGUAGGAAUCACUGGAACUGAUUUCUGUGAUGAACUACUUUCCAAUAAGGGAGCAGGUACAGUUACCUCAUCAAGUUCUACUUUCCUCCCACUCACUUCUUUCGAGAGAAACUCCUUCUCUAGAAAGGAUCCAUUCUUAGCAACGAAUAUCUUGCCUUCGGAUCUAUGAUAGAAGGUGUACCCAACAGUCCCCUUUGGGUAUCCUAUGCAGACACAUUUCUCCGAUUUGGGUUCGAGCUUAUCAGGUUGAAGCUUUUUCACAUAAGCAUCGCAGGCCCAAACUUUAAGAAACGACAACUUGGGUUUCUUGCCAAACCACAGUUCAUAUGGUGUCGUCUCAACGGAUUUAGAUGGUGCCCUAUUUAACGUGAAUGCAGCCGUCUCUAAAGCAUAACCCCAAAACGAUAGCGGUAAAUCAACAAGAGACAUCAUAGAUCGCACCAUAUCUAAUAAAGUGCGAUUACGAUGUUCAGACACACCAUUACGCUGUGGUAUUCCAGGUGGCGUGAGUUGUGAAACUAUUCCACAUUGUUUCAAAUGAAGACAAAUUCGUAACUCAAAUAUUCACCUCCACGAUCAGAUCGUAUAAACUUUAUUUUCUUGUUACGACGAUUUUCUAGUUCACUCUGAAAUUCUUCGAACUUUUCAAAUUUUCAGACUUAUGUUUCAUCAAGUAGAUAUACCCAUAUCUGAUCAAAUCAUCUGUCAAGGUCAGAAAAUAACGAUACCAGCCGCGAGCCUCAACACUCAUCGGACAACAUACAUCAGUAUGUAUUAUUUCCAAUAAGUCUGUUGCUCGCUCCAUAGUUCCGGAGAACGGAGUUUUAGUCAUCUUGCCCAUGAGGCAUGGUUCGCAAGCAUCAAGUGAUUCAUAAUCAAGUGAUUCCAAAAGCCCAUCAGCAUGGAGUUUCUUCAUGCGCUUUACACCAAUAUGACCUAAAUGGCAGUGCCACAAAUAAGUUGCACUAUCAUUAUUAAACUUAUAUCUUUUGGCUCCAAUACUAUGAAUAUGUGUAUCACUACUAUCGAGAUUUAACAAAAAUAGACCACUCAUCAAGGGUGCAUGACCAUAAAAGAUAUUACUCAUAUAAAUAGAACAACCAUUAUUCUAUGAUUUAAAUGAAUAACCGUCUCGCAUCAAACAACAUCCAGAUAUAAUGUUCAUGCUUAACGCUGGCACCAAAUAACCAUUAUUCAGGUCUAACACUAAUCCCGAAGGUAGAUGUAGAGGUAGCGUGCCGACGGCGAUCACAUCAACUUUGGAACCAUUUCCCACGCGCAUCGUCACCUCGUCCUUAGCCAAUCUUCGCUCAAUCCGUAGCCCCUGUUUCGAGUUGCAAAUAUGAGCAACAGAACCAGUAUUAAAUACCCAAGCGCUACUAUGAGCAUUAGUAAGGUACACAUCAAUAACAUGUAUAUCAGAUAUACCUUUCACUUUGCCAUCCUUCUUAUCUGCCAAAUACUUGGGGCAGUUCCGCUUCCAGUGACCAGUCCCUUUGCAGUAGAAGCACUCAGUCUCAGGCUUAGGACCAUACUUGGGCUUCUUCACUUGAGCAGCAACUUGUUUGCCGUUCUUCUUGAAGUUCCCCUUCUUCCCUUUACCCUUUUUCUUGAAACUAGUGGUUUUUUAACCAUCAACACUUGAUGCUCCUUCUUGAUUUCUACCUCCGCAGCCUUUAGCAUCGCGAAGAGCUCGGGAAUUGUCUUAUCCAUCCCUUGCAUAUUAUAGUUCAUCACGAAGGUUUUGUAGCUUGGUGGCAGUGAUUGAAGAACUCUGUCAAUGACACUAUCAACCGGAACAUUAACCCCCAGUUGAGUCAAGUGAUUGUGGUACCCAGACAUUUUGAGUAUAUGUUCACUGACAAAACUAUUCUCCUCCAUUUUGCAGUUGUAGAACUUAUUGGAGACUUCAUAUCUCUCAAUCCGGGAAUUUUCUUGAAAUAUUAACUUCAACUCCUGGAACAUCUCAUAUGCUCCAUGACGUUCAAAAUGUCGUUGAAGUCUCGGUCCUAAGCCGUAAAGCAUGGCACACUGAACUAUCGAGUAGUCAUCAGCUUUGCUCUGCCAGACGUUCAUAACGUCCGGUGUUGCUCCUGCAACGGGUCUUGCACCUAGCGGUGCUUCCAGGACGUAAUUCUUCUGUGCAGCAAUGAGGAUAAUCCUCAAGUUACGGACCCAGUCCGUGUAGUUGCUACCAUCAUCUUUCAACUUAGCUUUCUCUAGGAACGCAUUAAAAUUCAAAGGAACAGUAGCACGGGCCAUUGAUCUUCAACAACAUAGACAUGCAAAAUACUAUCAGGUACUAAGUUCAUGAUAAAUUAAAGUUCAAUUAAUCAUAUUACUUAAGAACUCCCACUUAGAUAGACAUCCCUCUAAUCAUCUAAGUGAUCACGUGAUCCAAAUCAACUAAACCAUGUCCGAUCAUCACGUGAGAUGGAGUAGUUUUCAAUGGUGACCAUCACUAUGUUGAUCAUAUCUACUAUAUGAUUCACGCUCGAUCUUUCAGUCUCAGUGUUCCGAGGCCAUAUCUGCAUAUGCUAGGCUCGUCAAGUUUAACCUGAGUAUUCUACGUGUGCAAAACUGGCUUGCACCCGUUGUAUGUGAACUUAGAGCUUAUCACACUCGAUCAUCACGUGGUGUCUCGACACGACGAACUGUAGCAAUGGUGCAUACUCUGGGAGAACACUUUUACCUUGAAAUUUAGUGAGAGAUCAUCUUAUAAUGCUACCGCCGUACUAAGAAAAAUAAGAUGCAUAAACGAUAAACAUCACAUGCAAUCAAUAUAAGUGAUAUGAUAUGGCCAUCAUCAUCUUGUGCCUUUGAUCUCCAUCUCCAAAGCACCGUCAUGAUCACCAUCAUCACCGGCUUGACACCUUGAUCUCCAUCGAAGCAUCGUUGUCGUCUCGCCAACUAUUGCUUCCACGACUAUCACUACCGCUUAGUGAUAAAGUAAAGCAAUUACAUGGCGAUUGCAUUUCAUACAAUAAAGCGACCACCAUAAGGCUCCUGCCAGUUGCGGAUAACUUUUACAAAACAUGAUCAUCUCAUACAACAAUUUAUAUAUCAUCACAUCUUGACCAUAUCACAUCACAGCAAGUCCAGCAAAUACAAGUUAGACGUCCUCUACUUUGUUGUUGCAAGUUUUACGUGGCUACUACAGGCUUAUCAAGAACCGUUCUUACCUAUGCAUCAAAACCACAAUGAUUUUUCGGCAAGUGUGUUGUUUUAACCUUCAACAAGGACCGGACUAGUCACACUCGAUUCAACUAAAGUUGGAGAAACAGACACCCACUAGCCACAUGUGUGCGAAGCACAGCGGUAGAACCAGUCUCAUGAGCACAGCCAUGUAAUGUCGGUCUGGGCCGCUUCAUCCAACAGUACCGCCGAAUCAAAGUAUGACAUGCUGGUAAGCAGUAUGACUAUUAUCGUCCACAACUCUUUGUGCUCUACUCGUGCAUAUAACAUCUACGCAUAGACCUGGCUCGGAUCGAUGCCACUAUUGUGGAACGCCGUAUUUCAAAAUUUUCCUACGAUCACGCAAGACCUAUCUAGGAGAAAAAUAGAAACAAGCGGGGAGAGUAUGUCCACGUACCCUCGUAGACCGAAAGCGGAAGCGUUUAUAAGCACGGUUGAUGUAGUUGUACGUCUUCACGUUCCGACCGAUCCUAGCACCGAACGUACGACACCUCUGUGUUCAGCACACGUUCAGCUCGAUGACGUCCCUCGUACUCUUGAUCCAGUUGAGGCCGAGGGAGAGUUCCGUCAGCACGACGGCGUGGCGACGGUGAUGAUGAAGUUGCCGGCGCAGGGCUUCGCCUAAGCACUACGGCGAUAUGACCGAGGUGUGUAACUGUGGAGGGGGCACUGCACACGGUUAAAAGAUCAACUUGUGUGUUCUAGGGUGCCCCCUCCCCACGUAUAUAAAGGAGGGAGGGGGAGGCUGGCCGGCCCUAGGGGCGCGCCCAAGGAGGGGGAGUCCUACUAGGACUACUAGUCCUAGUAGGAUUCCACCACAAGGGAGAGAGGGGGAAGGAAGGAGAGGGAGAGGGAGUGGGAAAGGGGGGCGCCGCCCCCCUUCCUUUGUCCAAUUCGGACUGGAAGGGGGGGAGGCCUGCCCUGGCUGCCCUCCUCCGUCUCCAACAAGGCCCAUGGUGGCCCAUUAGUUCCCUUGGGGGGUUCCGGUAACCCUUCGGCAUUCCGGUUUUACCCGAAACUAUCCGGAACACUUCCGCUGUCCGAAUAACAUGGUCCAAUAUAUCAAUCUUUAUGUAUCGACCAUUUAGAGACUCCUCGUCAUGUCCAUUAUCUCAUCCGGGACUCCGAACAACCUUCGGUCAUCAAAUCACAUAACUCAUAAUACAAAUCGUUAUCGAACGUUAAGCGUGCGGACCCUACGGGUUCGAGAACUAUGUAGACAUGACCGAGACACAUCUCCGGUCAAUAACCAAUAGCAGAAACUGGAUGCUCAUAUUGGCUCCUACAUAUUCUACGAAGAUCUUUAUCGGUCAAACCACAUAACAACAUACGUUGUUCCCUUUGUCAUCGGUAUGUUACUUGUCCGAGAUUCGAUCGUCGGUAUCAUCAUACCUAGUUCAAUCUUGUUACCGGCAAGUCUCUGUACUCGUUCUGUAAUGCAUCAUCCCGCAACUAACUCAUUAGUCACAUUGCUUGCAAGGCUUAUAGUGAUGUGCAUUACCGAGAGGGCCCAGAGAUACCUCUCCGAUACACGGAGUGACAAAUCCUAAUCUCGAUCUAUGCCAACUCAACAAACACCAUCGGAGACACCUGUAGAGCAUCUUUAUAAUCACCCAGUUAUGUUGUGACGUUUGAUAGCACACUAAGUGUUCCUCCGGUAUUCGGGAGUUGCAUAAUCUCAUAGUCAUAGGACCAUGUAUAUAUAAGUGAUGAAGAAAGCAAUAGCAAUAAACUAAAUGAUCAUAGUGCUAAGCUAACGGAUGGGUCUUGUCCAUCACAUCAUUGUCUAAUGAUGUGAUCCCAUUCAUCAAAUGACAACACAUGUCCAUGGCUAGGAAACUUAACCAUCUUUGAUUAACGAGCUAGUCAAGUAGAGGCAUACUAGGGACACUCUGUUUGUCUAUGUAUUCACACAUGUACGAAGUUUCCGGUUAAUACAAUUCUAGCAUGAAUAAUGAACAUUUAUCAUGAUAUAAGGAAAUAUAAAUAACAACUUUAUUAUUGCCUCUAGGGCAUAUUUUCUUCAGGCUUCACAACCACAUCUAGUAAUAUUUCUUGCAUGUGUUCUUAUCUUCCCACCCUUCAAAUCCUUCUUACAUUCCUCCUCCUCCUUCGUUCGGAAACCUUCUUUGGAACAAUGUAAUCACCUCCAGACCACCACAUUAUCUAUGGUCUUUUUAUGCCCAAUUUGGUCCGAAAAUCCAACAUUGGGUGCAUAAGCCUUGUAAAAAUUCUCAACAUCUUCUACACUAUCGAAUGCCAUACCCAUGGUUGGUUUUAUGUUCCCAUCACAAUCAGGAAUACAUGUUGAACCCUGAAAUUACAUGAUGCAUUGGUCGACAAGUUAGUGAAUGUUAAAGAAACUUGUAAAAAUUAUGGUGAUAACGAUACUCACACAAAAUGGGCCACUAAUAGCUCAAUUUUUGGGGGUACUGAAGUUUUCAAGUAUGACCGGGGGAUGACGCAUUUCCAUAUCACAGUGUCAUUCAUCAUUGCAUUCAUGGUUUAUCAAAGCAAUAUCACACACUAAAUUGGGCUCGAUCUGUUGCAAGCACAUAGGGAUGACCAUGCCAUGUUCAUUAGAAUUAAAAAAAUGCAUCAUACAGGGAGCAAGCGCUGAGUGUACAUAUUCAUUUCAAUUUACAAAACAAUAGGCAUUACCAUGACACGUUCAUAAGAAUUCAGAAAAAACAAAGAUGCAUUCAGAAGAGUAAGGACUAAGCGCACAAGUUCAUAUCAGUUUACAAAAAAAAUGCAUCACCAUGUCAUGUUCAUUAGAAUUCAUAAAAAACAAAGAUGCGUCAAUAUAUGGAGUAAGGAUUGAGCUUUCAUGUUCAUAUAAACUCAGAAAAAAGUGAUGCAUCAUACAUGCAUUGGUCAGGGACUUACAUGUGUACAAAUACGAGGAGGAGGGGGCAUGCCAGGAGACAGAGGAGCGACAUGGUCUGCAGGGAGCGUCUCCAUGAACUCUGGCAAAGAAGGUUGUGGCCUCACUAGCGAUUGCGACAUGAUCUGUGGGGACAUGGGAGGGUACAUAGGAGCGACAAGAGCAAUGGAUAGGAGGGGUGGCAGCACUACAUGAUCUGAAGGGUGGGGUGCCAUGAUCUCCUGCAGUGAAGGAUGGGGUGCCAUGACCUUUGGCGGCGAAGGACGGGCCCUCGCCGAUGAUGGCGCCAUGCCCUUAUCCAGAUCGAAGAGGAUUCGUUCGAAGACGAACAUACAAAGGGACGCUAGGAUUUCUCUAAUCAUAGGAAUUAACGAGGGGUUAUGUGUAAAAGGGGGUUAAGUGGCCAGUUAGCAAUCCCAUGUUUCAUCUCUACCCUUCCCUCUUGAUCCAAUGAACCAUGCCAUUACUUUCCAGACUUUCAUUGAAUUGCCGUUUUCACUGGAUAUGUUGCCUUGGGAAAAUGUUUUACAUUUUUGAAAGCGCACGUUUACUCCCAGAGGGGGGUGAAUGGGAGAUUUUUAGAAAUUUGUCAAACUCUGAUGAAUUUUGUGAAGAAAUAGAAACGCGAGGGAACUAAAUCAUCACAGAAUCAGAGUACAUGCAUACAAGAUACAUAAGGGUGAAGAACAUGCAAUCACACAGACAUACGAGCAUGAAUAAUAUGAACUGAAGAAAUGAAAGAUAGCAUGAUGAAAGUCUUAAGUUCAAAUUCGUUAGAAGAUAGAUCACAAAUUCUUCAGCAGCGGAAUAAAGUAAAGAGAGGGGGUGAGGAAUUUGAAACCAGGUUGGCUUGGUGAAGACACGUCGAUUUGGUAGACCAGUUCCAGUUGCUGUAUCAACUAUACGUCUGGUUGAGGUGGCUGAGAUGAACUCAGAGGAGACACAAUGCUCACCGUAUUCCUCUUGAGAUAAGGUCACUUAGUCCUCGCGCAAUCACUCAUGGUAAGUCUUCAAGGUAUAAUUCCAAAACCGUCACAAACUUGUUCACUAGCACACCACAAUGACUCUUGGUGUACUCAGAACAUGACGCCUAACCGUCUGGAAGAAUGACAGUCUUUGAAGGUAACAGGCGUCGGAUCACACAGAUCAAUCUCUUCAGUGAUGCUCAAUCACUUUGGCUCUGGGUUUUUCCUCACUUAGGAUUCUCUCAAAGUCGUACAGGAUGGGUUUCUCUCAAAUGAUAAGUGUCAAGUUCUAUCGGAGCAGCCAACCAACAAGUGGUUGUGGGGGGCGGCUAUUAUAGCCAAGGGGUGAUGUCAUUUGAACUAUGUCGGUAUUUCCCCAAAGAGGAAGGGAUGAUGCAGCACAACUACGGUAGGUAUUUCCCUCAGUUAUGAAACCAAGGUAUCAAUCCAGUAGGAGAACCAAGCAAUACUAUGUAAAUGGCACAUGCACACAAAGAACAAAUACUUGCAACCCGACGCUUAUGAGGGGUUGUCAAUCCCUCUUCAGGUAACAGCGCCAGAAAUUGUCAAGUUGACGGGAUACAAAAUGUGGUAGAUUGAAUCUCGAUAAAACGCAAAAUAAAAUAAGUAAAAAAAGAGUGCAGCAAGGUAUUUUUGGGUUUUUGGAAUAAUAGAUCUAAAAAUAAAAGCAAAUGAAAAUAGAUCUCAAAGCAAAUAUGAUAAAGAAUAGACCCGAGAGACGUAGAUUUCACUAGUGACUUCUCUCGAGAAAAUAGCAUACGGUGGGUAAAAAAAUUACUGUUGGGCAAUUGAUAGAAGAUUGAAUAAUUAUGACGAUAUCCAAGGCAAUGAUCAAUACAUAGGCAUCACGUCCAAUAUUAGUAGACCGACUCCUGCCUGUAUCUACUACUAUUAAUCCACACAUCGACCGCUAUCCAGCAUGCAUCUAGUGUAUUAAGUUCAUGGAGAAACGGAGUAAUGCAAUAAGAACGAUGACAUGAUGUAGACGAGAUCUAUUCAUUAUGGAACAGCCCCCAUCUUGUUAUCCUUAAUAGAAACAAUACAUGCGUGUCUUUUUUUGAGUAGGUAAUGACUGUAGGAGAGUUUCCUACAGUCUUCUAAAUUAAUAAGAGGUUACAAAGGUCUUGGGUUACAAGGUCAGCAUAUAUUUACAUGAUAGAGGGGGUUGGGUUAGAUCAAGGAGAAAAGACAGAAGGCAGUACAAGGGGCAAGUGCUACUUCUUGAGCUUGUGUUGGUUUUUCCCUUGAAGAGGAAAGGGUGAUGCAGCACAAUAGAGAUAAGUAUUUCCCUCAGUUAAGAACCAAGGUAAGAACCAAGGUAUCAAUCCAGUAGGAGAAACAUGCAAGUCCCCAAUCGAUGCACCUGCAUAAACAAUCAAACACUUGCACCCAAUGCGAUAAAGGGGUUGUCAAUCCAUUCACGGUCAUUUGCAAAGGUGAGAUCUGAUAGAGAUAGAUAAAGCUAAACAAAAGAUUGAAUAUUUUUGGUUUUUUUUGGUUUAUAGAUCUGAAAAUAAAAGAUUGCAAAAUAGUAGAUCGGAAACUAAUAUGAUGGAAAAUAGACCCGUGGGCCAUAGGUUUCACUAGAGGCUUCUCUCAUGAAGGCAAAUAAUACGAUGGGUGAACAAAUUACUGUCGAGCAAUUGAUAGAAAAGCACAAAGUUCUGACGAUAUCCAAGACAAUGAUUAUGUAAUAUAGGCAUCACGUCCGUGUCAAGUAGACCGACUCCUGCCUGCAUCUACUACUAUUACUCCACACAUCGACCGCUAUUCAGCAUGCAUCUAGAGUAUUAAGUUCAUAAAGAAUGGAGUAACGCCUCAAGUAAGAUGACAUGAUGUAGAGGAAUAAACUCAAGAAAUAUGAUGAAAACCCCAUCUUUUUGUCCUUGAUGGCAACAAUUCAAUACGUGUCUCGCUACCACUACUUUGUCACUGGGUGAAAUCACGCAAGAUUGAACCCAAAGCUAAGCACCUCUCCCUUUGCAAGGAAAACCAAUCUACUUGGCCAAACCAAACCGAUACUUCGAAGAGAAAUACAAAGAUAUAAAAUCAUGCAUAUAAGAAUUCAGAGAAGAUUCAAAUAACAUUCAUAGAUAAGCUGAUCAUAAAUCCACAAUUCAUCGGAUCCCAACAAACACACCGCAAAACAAGAUUUCUAGGACAACAUGUUAUUGAGAAUCAAAGAGAGAGAAGAAGCCAUCUAGCUACUAGCUAUGGACCCGUAGGUCUGUGGUAAACUACCCACACUUCAUUGGAAGGGCAAUAGAGUUGAUGUAGAUGCCCUCCGUGAUCGAAUCCCCCUUCGGCAGGAUGCCAAAAAAGGCUCCAAGAUGGGAUCUCACGAGAACAGAAGGUUGCGGCGGUGGAAAAGUGUUUUCAUGGAUGCUUCCGUGGGCUUUGGAAUAUGUGUGAAUAUAUAGGAGGAAGAUCUAGGUCACGGAGUCACCGAGGGGCCCACAAGGUAGGGGCGGCCCCCUAGGGCGCGCCCUCCACCCUUGCCGUCGCCUCGUGGCUCUUCUGACUUGCACUCCAAGUCCCCUGGGUGUCUUCUGGUCCAAGAAAAUCGUAAAGUUUUAUUCCGUUUGGACAUCGUUUGGUAUUCCUUUUCUGCGAAGCUCAAUAACAAGGAAAAAACAAAAACUGACACUGGGCUCUAGGUUAAUAAGUUAGUCCCAAAAAUAAUAUAAAAUAGCAUAUUAAUGCAUAUAAAACAUUCAAAACUGAUAAUAUAAUAGCAUGGAACAAUAAAAAAAUAUAGAUACAUUGGAGACGUAUCAGCAAGCAGCACAACGUUACAGCUAAGGAAAUCUAGGACAGCCCACUCAGAAGUGUGGCGAUGAAUUCUUCCAACUUUGGUUUGGACCUAUGCUUCAGCAUGCCAAAAUCUUUCUUGAAUCACUGCAGCCAGGAUUGGAACGUGAAGGGAAUUCUCCGAAAUAUAAAAUUAUUUCGUUCCUUCCAGAUCGACUAGGCCGCCACAACAAAGGCCUCCAUGAACAUGGGCCUGGCCCAAUCCCUUCGAGCGUGCGUCAACCAUUGAAAUCUGUUACCCCCCACACCCCAUGAGAUAUUAAGUUUGUUCCAACAUUUCCUCACAUUGUUGUCGGCACAAGACACAGUCAUCAGAUCUAGGGUUGGUCGGCCCCACCACAUAGUGCCUAUGACGUAGCAUGUUUUUGGUGUUCAGUCUGUCUGAAAGGAGCAACCAGGCGAACACUUCCAGUUUCAUAGUGCAUUUGGAGCACCAGAUCCAUUUGAACGCCUCGUCACAUUCAACAUCUCUGAAGUAGAAGUGAUAAUAUUUCGCGGAUGAGUAUCUUUGUCCCCAUUCAUACACGCAAGCAUCCUUAUUUAUCGGGUCAAUUUGGUAGCCCGCCACAAUGCUUUGCAGCUGUGAGACCUCCUCCCUCGGUUGGCUUGACAUGAGCAAGCGGAAUCCAUCACGCAACGUUUCCAUUCACAGAAAGUUUCUGACCGUGGUAUCUUCAUUAGUGCUAUACAAGAAGGCUCUAGGGUGAGUUUCAGCCAAAAUUUGCCCGCACCAAAGAUCUUUCCAAAAAAUGUCAAGGUUCCAACGUUAACUGAAGAAAUCCCUCUGUAGAUUGAUAGGAGAUUAAGGAUUUACCGCCACCAAAACGACCCACACAGCCCAGCUGCAUGAGGCGUGAUGUUAGUAUAGUAUGUCCCCCAUACUAACUCGACCCACGACACAUCAGGGUGAGUGUAAAACUUGUCCAGGAACUUCAUCAGCAGGGCAGUAUUGAGGGUUUUGGUGUCCAGGACCCCUAGGCCGCCAUGCAGGCGCCUGCCAGGCUGACAGGUCAGCCCUCGUGCUAGAGUGGUGACUAGGCAGCCGAGUCUGGCCACGGUCUUGCCGAUGUCCCCGGCAAGGAUCUUGCCGGGGCCUCGUGGGCGUCCGCGACAGGGAUCUUGCCGAGGCCUCAUCUUCUGGCCUUCACAAAGAUCUGCACGCCACUACGCACUCACCCUUGGAUCCUGGCCUUAAUGUUGUUGAUGGUGUUAGAGCUCUCAACCUCAAGGGUGGUGCUCUCGCUAGUAUUCUGGAAAUCAUCCCGGCAAGGACCUUGUCGGGGUCUCGCAAGCCAUUCCCGGCAAGGAUCUCGCCGGGGGUCCAGCUAAUCUUCUGUUCUCUGACUUGGCUACAUUUCUUCGUCUUGUAUCUCGUUUUUAUCCUUGAUCGCCCUCUUUGUGCCUUGCCGCGGGUGUGGCUACAACUGCCCGUGCACAAGUAUGGGGUACUAAAGGGCCCAAACUUUAGUACACCGACAGGAGCCCCUGGGCCUGGGCCACACACGAGUGCGAAGCGCCAUUCGGCCAGGCCCAAACAGUGCACGGGCACGCGUGGCAGGGAAUAACUGCUAUAAUCUUCUCGUCAGCUGUGCUUGCGGUGGCCCGUGAAUAGCCUUUAUUCACGAGAUGGUAAUCGUUGUUCCGCUUCCCACUACUGCCUUUUUCGCCAUGUACGUUGCAUGCAUGGCGCGGGGUAGGUGGCGGACGCGUGGGAUACGGGAGGGCGUGCCAUGGCAGAUACCCAUGCGCCUUUGAUUGGCGCGGGGAGGGCGGUCAACGACCUCGCUCGUUGCCAAUGGCUUUAAUGAGUCGGACUUGAAAGGACUCUUGUGGGGAGGUGUAGAGCCAGCUCCCAGCCCUCCCUGCUUGGCUAUAAAAGGGGGAUCAGGAGGAGAAGGAGGGGCAUCCCCUCGCGUCUUCUUCUUCCCUGUUCUCCAUCCACCACCAUGCUGAGAGGGCGCGGUCGCGGCCAUCCUUCUACGGAGGCGACUAGAUCUUCCUCUCGCUAGAGAGCUGCGGCGGUUAAGUAAGAGCCGGAUGCCCAAGGCGGAGGUGCUGGACGGGGCCGCGGUCGGCGAGGUGGUCGAGGCAGAGGUGUACGUGGAAGGGGGGCACCUGCGGCGCCACCGUGUCCACCACCACCUCCUCCUGCUUCGUCGAGCGGCCAUGUCGGAGACACGGCGCUGGAGUUUAUCCUGCAGCUGGGCGAACCGCCGCGUAGCCUCCUCCGUCUUCCUGAGGGUGCUGGAGGUUGACCAGCCAUCGAGGUUGAGGCUUCGCAUGAAGGGAUGUUGCAAUGGCGACAUGUGGGCGAACGUAAAGUUCACCGUCCCUCAUGUAAUGCUUCUUCAUCAUGGUUGGAAAACCUUCGCACGCGCCCACUUCCUGAUGAAGGGGCACAUCCUCCGCUUCAAAUUAGUGGAGGCUGACCUGCUCUCCAUCAAGGUUUUUGGGCGCUCGGGAAUCCGACUAGGGUGCUGCGCGGAGAGCUCGAAUGAUGAUGAAAGCUCCUCCUCGAGUGAUAGCGACGAGGAGGAUACCGGUGGGGAGGAUGACGGGGAUGGGUCCGACUAGACGUCAGGCGCCCCGUCCCUAGGUGACACCGGCAGCACCAUCAUCUGCUCCUGGCCUUCUCCCCGGCAGAGCAAUCUGCCGGGGGGUAGUUCUUGUCGGUGGCUCCCCAAGCCAGCUCCUUGAACUUCUCGGGGCUGUCGCUCCUGGAGGAUGGCGCUAGAAGGCCGGAGAAUACGAAGAAGGCGGGUGGCAGACCGUCAAGUCGGAGUACGACGGCACCGACGCCUUCAUCUCGUAUUGCCAACCCGCUGCCUCAUCUUUCGGCUCCUCCCCCGGCACCGUCAUCACCGGGAUGUUCUCUUGGUGUCUUCUGCCGCGUGUACCUUGCCUAGGCACUCCUUUUGCCCCCCCUGCUAUCUCGAUCCACUUCCUAAGAAGAGGGACAAGAAAGGGAUUACGGGCAUCUUAUCUUUUUUUUAGGUUUUAAGCCUUCGGGCACUUGUCGAAUUUAAACUUUGUAAUCCCUCGCUUAUGCUUGCAUCCCGUAUGAAUUGUACUUGUUAACUAACAUAUUAAUGAAGAAAAAGGGUGUUUGCCGGGUUCUUUUGUGUGUGACCGAGUCUCACACCAAGGAACAAGUCCUCGUUAUUAUUCAUUAAAUAAACAAUGUCGUCCCGACAACAGACCUUGUCGUUCUCCCGCUUCAUACCACGACUACGCUCAUGCCCUUCGCGGAGGUAGGGGCAAAGUAGGAUUAGGCCCUUCGCCCACAACCUUUCCACCGCGACUACAACCAGAUCCCAAUAAAAGGGAUUUUUGGGCACAAGAAAGAGGGAGCACGGUGGCAUGAUAUAGAGCGAAGCUUCAUACGUUCAAGCUUCAUGCGGAAGUACCCAGCGGGAAGAAAGGACUUAUCUGAAUCCGCUUCCCCCGGCAGCAUCGGCUUGCCGGGGUCGGGGUGUCGGUUCGUCUCCCUUCCUCCAAAAAGUUCCACUAAAGCGCCCGUGCGGCCUGCGAACCAAAAAGGACUGGAAGGGACACAAAGACACAUACUCAACCUCUGAGCUAGGGGUUAGUCGCCGCUCAAGCACUAUCAACCCUACCAGAGAGAGACUCAACCUAACAUGCAUGCUAAUUCUUAGGGUGCCAGCGCUUCGUUUAUUCAUCUGUUGCUCAGGGUCUGCGCCUGGCUUUGUAUAAAGGGUCACAUGCCUUGCCGGCAAGGCUUGUACAAAAGGUGGUUUGUCGGGGGGCCCGGCAACCGCACCUCACGGGUAAAACUUGCGAAGAUAUUCGAUGUUCCAGGAGUUGCUCACUGGGAUACCAUCUUCGGUCUCCAGGCGGACUGCGCCAGGCCUGGUGACUCGUAUUACUCGAUAAGGGCCUUCCCACUUUAGCGUCAACUUGUUGGAAUUCUUUGCCGACUGAACGCACCGAAGAACAAGGUCGCCUUCCUCAAAGCUUCGGGCAUGAACCUUCGGCUAUGGUAGUGGCGCAAGGCUUGCUGGUAGCGCGCAGCUCGCACAACAGCCUGAAGAUGAUCUUCCUCAAGGAGCGUAGCGUCAUCUUGCCGCAACUGCUCUUGCUCAAGCUCAUCAUAAGCGAGCACUCAAGGUGACCCGUAUGUGAGUUCCAUGGGGAGAACUACUUCUGCCUCGUACACGAGGGAGAAGGCUGUCUGGCCGGUGGCUCGAUUUGGCAUUGUUCUGAUUGACCAAAGAACCGCCGGCAACUCAUCAAUCCAGCGUCUUCCGCACUUGUGCAGCCUGUCAAAAGUCUUCGUCCUGAGGCCCAACAACACCUCAGCAUUUGCCCUCUCCGCCUGGUCGUUGCUUCGUGGAUGCGCAACAGAAGCAAAACAUAUCUUGCUAUCGAGGUCUUGGACGUAUUGCAUGAAGGUGCGGCUUGUGAAUUGCGUGCCAUUGUCGGUGAUGACUCUGUUCGGCACACCAAAAUGGCAAACUAAUCCUUUGAAGAACUUGACGGCUGACUGUGCUGUCACCUUUCUCAGUGCUUCCACUUCUGGCCACUUUGUGAACUUGUCGAUCGCAACGUACAAGUACUCAAAGCCCCUGACAGCAUGGGGAGAGGGGCCCAGUAUGUCGAGCCCCCAGACUGAAAAUCGCCAGGAAAGAGGGUUUGUCUGAAGAUCUUGAGCUGGCUGAUGGAGUUUCUUCGAAUGGGACUGGCACGCUUCACACUUGGUUACUAGUGCAGUUGCAUCCUGGAGAGCAGUGGGCCAAAAGAAACCUUGCCGGAAUGCCUUGCCAGCAAGGGCUCUUGAUCCUACGUGAGAGCCACAUAUGCCUCCAUGUAUCUCUGCCAACAGCUCCAGUCCGUCCUCCCGGGGAAUGCACUUCAAUUUCACACCGUUCGGUCUUUUCCUGUACAGGACGUCGUCCACAAACUGCUACAUGGCAGACCGACGGGCUACUUUCUCCGCUUCUUCCUGUUCCUCAAGGAGUUCCCCUGUUUGGAGGAACUGGACGGUGUGUUGUGCCCAUGCCGGAGCCUGAGGCUCGACGGCAAGGACUAGAGGCAUGUCUUCUGCCGUGGGAGCGGUUGUCUCUACGGCAAGGGCUUGAGGCCCUGCCGGAGCCUGUCGCUCCCCGGCAAGCUUGGUGUCCCCGACAACAUCCUUGCCGGCGGCCCCCGGGAGCUCGGCGGGAAAGUUCUUGUCGGGGCCUGAUUUUCUUCGCUUAUUCUGCCCUGCCGAUGGAUCAACGGAUGGCUGAGUCAAUUGGAGCACAAAGGUCCCUGGUUCCACAGGUAACUUGAGGGCUGCACGUUUUGACAGGUCGUCAGCAAUGCUGUUCUCCGCUCGAGGAACAUGCUCUGCUUGUAGACCGUCAAAAUGUUCCUCCAAACUUCCUCACUUCAUCUACAUAAGCUUCCAUCAUCAGGCUCUGAUAAUCCUUGUUCACCUGCUUUACCACGAGUUGUGAAUCCCCACGGACGAUCAACCUUCUGAUCCCAAGGUCUGCUGCGAUCCUGAGAUCGGCAAGCAGCCCCUCAUACUCUAUGGUGUUGUUCGUUGAUCUCUCCCAGGGAAAAUGCACUAAGACCACGUACUUGAGGUGCUCUCCGGUGGGCGCGACAAGCAGCAUGCCGGCACCGGCGCCUUGCAGCGAGAAAGCCCCAUCAACGUACAUAAUCCAGUUGCGCCUUGUUUCCUUGCUGGGGAGAGUGGUUCCUUGAAUUUCUUCGUCAGGCAUUGAGGUCCAUUCAGCAAUGAACUCCACCAAAACCCUGCUCUAGAUGGUCGAAGUGCUUUCAAACCUGAGACCAAAGCUUGACAGUUCCAACGCCCAUUCCACAAUCCUUCUGGUUGCAUCUGGGUUGUGCAAGAUUCGUUGCAAUGGAAAGCGAGUGAUGACGGUGAUCUCACGUGCUUGAAAAUAAUGAUGCAGCUUCCUCGAGGCCAUAAGGAGGCCGAAGAGCAACUUUUGCACACCAGAGAAUCUUGACCUAGCCCCCUGCAAUAGGGAGCUAACAAAGUAAACUGGGUGCUGCAUCAUCUUCUUCUUCUGUACCACUUCAUUUGCUUGUGUAGAUCCUGCCUCUCCGGCGCCAGACUCUGCCGGGGUUCCUGCCUUGCUGGUGCCAGAUUCUGCCGGGGGUCCUGCCUUGCCGGCACCAGACCCUGCCGGGAGGAGUUCUGGUUCGUCAUCUGACAGUCUUGCCACUGCUACCGGCUCUUCGUCAACUUCCCUCUGCACCACUAGCUCAACACUAAUCACUUAAUUCAUCGCCGCUAGAUAUAGCAGCAACGGUUCUUGUGGUUUAGGCACAACUAGUAUUGGUGUAGAGGAAAGGUACCUCUUCAAAUCCUGCAGCGCUGCCUCUGCCUCCGGGGUCCAUUUCAUGGGUCCCGCCUUCUUGAAAAUCUUGAAGAAGGGGAGGGCACGCUCAGCAGAUUUGGAGAUGAACCUACUUAAAGCAGCAACGCAGCCAGCAAGCUGAUGCACAUCUUUGACUCGCCUUGGUGCUUCAAUCUGCUCAAUUGCCUUGAUCUUGUCGGGGUUCGCUUCGAUCCCACGCUGAGACACAAAGAACCCGAAAAGUUUGUCGGAUGGAACACCGAACACACACUUCUCAGGGUUGAGCUUGAGAUUGAUCUUGCGCAAAUUUGCAAAUGUUUCUUCCAAAUCUUGCACAAGUGUUGCCCUGUCUUUGGUUUUGACCACUAUGUCAUCCAUGUAAGCCUCCAUAUUUCUAUGGAGCUGGGGCUCAAAACCAAUCUGAACUGCUCUUGCAAAUGUCGAACCAACACUUUUCAACCCGAAAGGCAUUCGUAUAAAACAAUACGUACCACAUGGGGUGAUAAAGGCGGUCUUCUCUUCAUCUUCCUUCAUCAUAAAGAUCUGGUGGUAUCCUGAGUAGGCAUCAAGGAACAACAGCAGGUCGCACCCGGCAGUGGAGUCCAUGAUCUGGUCAAUGCACGACAAAGGGAAAGGAUCCUUUGGGUAGGCUUUAUUGAUAUUUGUAUAAUCAAUGCACAACCUCCAUUUCCCAUUCGCCUUGCGCACCACCACCGGAUUGGCCAACCAUGUUGGGUGGAGCACUCCUCUGACGAAGCCUGCAGCUUCCAACUUCCUAAUCUCCUCGAUAAUGAACUCCUGCUGCUCCAAAGCUUGCUUCCUGACCUUCUGCUUGACGGGACGCGCAUGAGGACAGACGACAAGGUGCUGCUCAAUCACCUCCCUAGGAACACCGGGGAUGUCAGGUGCUUGCCAUACAAACACAUCGACAUUCACCCACAGGAAGGCGACGAGCGCGCUUUCCUAUUUGCUGUCGAGGGUGGAGCUUAUAGUUAAAGCUCCGCCCGUGCCGUCCUCCUUGACGGGCACCCUCUUGGUCUCUGGUGGUGCAACCUUGGAUUUCUUGCUCUUGCCGAUGGAGCUUUCUGGCACGUCCUCAACGGGAACGCGGCACUCUGAGGAGGCGCGUUUGCCGGAGUGGGUGCAAGAGGCUUGGCCGGGGCAGAAGCCUUGUCGGUGACUGAGGUCUUGCUAGUCUUCUUCCCCUACCUGGCGCGCCAAAGAUGUCGGUGAGAACGACACCUACGGGAUCAUGCGGGUCCCUUCUACGGUUUGGCAGGGAAGAGGGGCUGAGCAAAGAGCAGAUCUAAUUAUCAACACGACGGAUUUUUACCCAGGUUCGGGCCGCUGAGCAGCGUAAAACCCUAGUCCUGCUUGAUUGUGUAUUGAGUGUUCUUGAGCUUCGGCUAGUUGCUACGCAUGCAAGCUAGGCCGAGAGGUCCAAAAAGCCGAAUCCCCCUCCAGUACGCCGUGGGCCUCCUUUUAUAUGACCAAGGGGCUGCCACAGUGGCAUACAAGAGGUGUAAAGUAUCUACAGUGUAUGCAGGAGGUGUAAACAGCUACAGUACACAUGCUUAUCUUGGUCAUCUCAGGACAAACGCAAUAAAUGCGCUGCUUACGUGCCCUCUAGCUUUAUUAGGGACGGGAAGAGAGCCCGUCCCGUCCGUUGCCGCCCUACCCCAUCUCGACACGCGUCCAUGCCGAUGAGGCAUGCAGUGCCAAGUUGGCUGGCCAGCUGCUGCGCUGGAGAGGUGGCAGGGUCUUCACGAAGAUCUGCAUGCCACCACGCAGGCGCCUGCCAGGCUGACAAGUCAGCCCCCGUGCUGGAGUGGUGACUGGGCAGCCGAGUCUGGCCACGGUCUUGCCAAUGUCCCUGGCAAGGAUCUUGCCGGGGCCUCGUGGGCGUCCGCGACAGGGAUCUUGUCGGGGCCUCGUCGUCUGGCCUUCACAAAGAUCUGCACGCCACUACGCGCGCGCCCUUGGAUCCUGGCUUUAAUGUUGUUGAUGGUGUCAGAGCUCUCAACCUCAAGGGUGGUGCUCUCGCUAGUGUUCUGGAAGUCAUCCCGGCAAGGACCUUGCCAGGGUCUCGCAAGCCAUCCCCGACAAGGAUCUCGCUGGGGGUCCAGCUAAUCUUCUGUUCUCUGACUUGGCUGCUUUUCUUCGUCUUGUAUCUCGUUUUUAUCCUUGAUCGCCCUCUUUGUGCCUUGCCGCGGGUGUGGCUACAACUGGCCAUGCACAAGUAUGGGGUGCUAAAGGGCCCAAACUUUAGUACACCGACAAACACCCCCCACUUUCUGUCCUUUUUCGACCAAGAGACCGGCCAGGCCAGCAUCUUUAUUUCCCUUACCAACCAAGAGAUCGGUUCGUUAGCCAGUAUCUGCAGUACCUUUUUUCCUCUAAUAGUAAAAAUUUAGGUGGUGUUCGAGUGUUCGACAAGCCGAUGGAGCUAGCUACAUGGAGAGCUUUGUAAUACUAGAAGAACAUCCACAUGUAGGAUGCAGCAACGUGGGCAGUAAUCCUAACUUGAUGAAAAAAGGGAUGCAGCGACAUGGGGAGCUGGGCCACUAGAACAAGGCCGGUUCUAAAAAAAAGUUAUACCUCCGGUCGGCGGGAUGUGCCGAGGCAGGCGGCGGGAUCUGCCAAGUCGACGGCGGGGAGCAAGAGUGAGGAGGACCUCCCAUGCCGGCGCCAGGUUAGAGAAGGCAGCACGCGUCAGCUUCCUCCCUCGCCACCGGCGAACACCAACGGAAGGUAUCCGGAUGGAUCUGUGUCAACCGGAGAGAAGAGAGAGAGAGAGAGACAAAGAGAGUGGACACCACAGUCUUGUUUAGAUCUAGAGAGGGUGAGAGAGUGAGAAGAAGAGAACAACCCUAACAAGCAAGUCCCGAAGUGGACUAGUGGAGUAGUAAUUGUUUUUCCCGCCAUAGCGAUCAUCUUAAAUUGAAUACGCGCGCAGCCAUAUUUUUUCAUUUAACAUACCAGUAACAAGAAACUCAAUCAAUAACCGCGCUACCGCGUUCAGGUCGCACUUGGUAUGGCUGACAUUUGGUCCCAGACCCCACAUUAAGUGGACGACUAGAUGUCUCAAAUUGUCACGUUACUUGCCUUUUCGUGUGCAAAUGCGCUCCACCGUGAGUGUACCCGGGCGUGGGCGUGAGGGGAGAGUGAAGUCCAAUUUAUAUAAACCUUUAGGUUGUAGAGCUAGUCGGAAACAAACCCUCACCUUUAAAUCCUUGAAGUUUGUACCCUGUCCUCUGUAAUCCCGGUCAUUUUUAACCUUAAGGGCAUGUGCGGUUCAAGGGGUUUUAACAGGGAUUGUGGGGGAUUAAAUCAUGUACAAGCCAAAUUCCCCUCCAUUCCUCUCCAAACCCCUUGGGAGGAGGUUGAACCGAACAAGGCCUAAGACUAACCACAGUGGGAGUAACUUAAUUCCAUACGGUAUCAUAAUAUGAUACUCAACCCUCUCUUUCUUCAUUUAAUUCUAUGUCACCUCAUCAAAUUUGCCUAGUUGGCAUGCAUGAUACUACUUAUGAUACUCCCAUUACAACCAGCCUGGUAGAAUUAAUAUACCUAAUCUAAAUGGUCACCGCCUGAUCUCUUUGUCCUCCUCCAGCAUCUGGCUGAAGAAGAAUCGUGCAAGACACCGGCUGUAUUCGUCGGUGUCGCCUCGGUGGUGGCCUUCAUGGGAUACAAUCGGCGUCGGCCUCCCGUGUUCUACUUCUCCUCGAUGAUGGCGGCGGGCGGGGACGUGUUGGUCGUCACCUCAUCAACAUCUGCGGCGGCUUCUUUCUCUGCUUGCAUGGUGCGGCUACGCGCACGUUGAUGGCGCAUGGUGCAGUCGCAGACACUGGAGGCACUGUAUGACGCGGCGACGUCGAGGCAGCGACGAUGCCCAUGCCGCCGUGCUCCCCGACUAGCCGGCAUGGAGCAAGUCAGCACUCUUCCUCGAGCUGUAUUGGAGCGGCCAGCUGCGGAACCACGCGCUGACUUAGUGCGGCAACUGCCUCCGACGGGCUAGGCGAGGUAGGUGGAGCAGCGAGCUGCCUCACUCAUAACUGCCGGGCUUGGCGGGCCACCCAGACGUCUUUUAUGCCAGAGAACUGCUCUUCCUGCUCGUCGGAUGCCGCCGGAAGAAUGGAGAAAAUGGUGGCAGGAGGAGCUUGGCCGGCAUCCUGCUCCUGAAUGGACGUGUGUUGCCGGAGUGGGUUUCUCGCAUUCCACGCGAGUUUAAAUGUAGGUUUUUGAAUGCGGCGAGGAGGCGGGUACAGCUGGGAGUGCAACGGGCGGCGCCCUGGGCCGGCGUGCCACUUCAAAUGGCGGACGCAGUGAGAGGUCGCGUCCGCCCUGACCCCCUUGACCGUGGACCUUGACGGUGUACGUCACCUUGUGUCCAGAUCUGAGAUGCCACGUGUACCAGAUGAAUGACUCCAAGUUCGACCACCAUGAUGCUAGGUGCGAGCCGAGGAACACUGUUGGAGACACCCCCCUCAUAAUUUUCCUACAUUGGUCGUUUGAUUCAUAGGAUAGAAUGUAUAGGAUUAUUUUCCUAUGAAAUUGCUACCUCUUGAGCACUGCGUUGGUUCUCCCUUGAAGAGGAAAGGGUGAUGCAGCAAAGUAGCGUAAGUAUUUCCCUCAGUUUUUGAGAACCAAGGUAUCAAUCCAGUAGGAGGCUACACGCGAGUCCCUCGCACCUACACAAACAAAUAAAUCCUAGCAACCAACGCGAUAAGGGGUUGUCAAUCCCUACACGGUCACUUACGAGAGUGAGAUCUGAUAGAUAUGAUAGGAUAAUGUUUUUGGUAUUUUUAUGAUAAAGAUGCAAAGUAAAAUAAAAGCAACGGAAAUAACUAAGUGUUGGAAGAUUAAUAUGAUGAAGAUAGACCCGGGGGCCAUAGGUUUCACUAGUGGCUUCUCUCAAGAGCAUAAGUAUUUUACGGUGGGUGAACAAAUUACUGUUGAGCAAUUGACAGAAUUGAGCAUAGUUAUGAGAAUAUCUAGGUAUGAUCAUGUAUAUAGGCAUCACGUCCGAGACAAGUAGACCGACUCCUGCCUGCAUCUACUACUAUUACUCCACACAUCGACCGCUAUCCAGCAUGCAUCUAGAGUAUUAAGUUCAUAAGAACAGAGUAACGCUUUAAGCAAGAUGACAUGAUGUAGAGGGAUAAACUCAUGCAAUAUGAUAAAAACCCCAUCUUGUUAUCCUCGAUGGCAACAAUACAAUACAUGCCUUGCUGCCCCUACUGUCACUGGGAAAGGACACCGCAAGAUUGAACCCAAAGCCAAGCACUUCUCCCAUUGCAAGAAAGAUCAAUCUAGUAGGCCAAACCAAACUGAUAAUUCGAAGAGACUUGCAAAGAUAACCAAUCAUACAUAAAAGAAUUCAGAGAAGAUUCAAAUAUUGUUCAUAGAUAAACUUGAUCAUAAACCCACAAUUCAUUGGUCUCAACAAACACACCGCAAAAGAAGAUUACAUCGAAUAGAUCUGCACGAGAGAGGGGGAGAACAUUGUAUUGAGAACCAAAAAGAGAGAAGAAGCCAUCUAGCUAAUAACUAUGGACCCAAAGGUCUGAAGUAAACUACUCACACAUCAUCGGAGAGGCUAUGGUGUUGAUGUAGAAGCCCUCCAUGAUCGAUGCCCCCUCCGGCGAAGCUCCGGAACAGGCCCCAAGAUGGGAUCUCGUGGGUACAGAAGGUUGCGGCGGUGGAAUUAGGUUUUUGGCUCCGUAUCUGAUCUUUGGGGGUACGUAGGUAUAUAUAGGAGGAAGGAGUACGUCGGUGGAGCAACGUGGGGCCCACAAGGGUGGAGGGCGCGCCCAGGGGGUAGGCGCGCCCCCUACCUCGUGGCUUCCUGGAAGCUUCUUUUACAUAGGGUCCAAGUCUCCUGGAUCAUGUUCGUUCCGAAAAUCACGUUCCCGAAGGUUUCAUUCCGUUUGGACUCCGUUUGAUAUUCUUUUUCUGCGAAACUCUGAAAUAGGCAAAAAAACAGCAAUUCUGGGCUGGGCCUCCGGUUAAUAGGUUAGUCCCAAAAAUAAUAUAAAAGUGAAUAAUAAAGCCCAAUAAUGUCCAAAACAGAAGAUAAUAUAGCAUGGAGCAAUCAAAAAUUAUAGAUACGUUGGAGACGUAUCAGAAAUCAUGUGUUAAUUGGCAAUCUAGCAUCCACUCCAACCUUUUUUUUCACUUCCUUUGUUUUCCCUGCAUCAAACACUCUGUGUUUUUAGGGAACACUGUGUUAAUGCUAUGGGAUUCAAGUGGACAUGCCACUCCAAUCCUUUAUUUUUCCUAUUCCUGCGCUUUAAGUUCCUACGACGAGAGUACUUGCUCUAAAUGAUGUGUCGCUGCAAGAGCCGCCUAUAUUAAUUAACCAUGCUCUACUAUAGUAUACUGUACUAGGUUAGUAGGUGACCUUGUGCUUGGCUCUUCGCCUCUUCCGGAAAUCGAACAAUAAUGAUGGUACUACAGUAGUACUUCUGGUAAUCUGACACCAAAUGAACUGUUGCACGUCCACUGCUUGUAAGCAAAAGUUUCUCCUCGUGCUGCGAGCCACAGCGCACACGUUGGCGAGGGAGAAGGCGUAGUAAGCAAGCCUCUCGUCGUUCCGCAAGUUGAUGGGACACAUCAAAGUUAUUUAGUACUCUGUCCAAAAAGGGCCGACCAUGUCCAUGGCUACCAUCACGUGCUCCGUCAUUGAGUACAUGCACUAUUCACGUGCCAUCGAGGAGAACAAAUAUUGCGUAGUAGGUGCCAUCGAAGUGCAUGACUCACUUACGCACUGCUUAUCUAAUUAUCUCCAUUUUCUUGCAUGACACGUGCACCUUGAUACUAGACGUCCCGCGUGUUGGCAAAAGGGUGAACAAAGCUCACGUCAAAAAAAGAGUGGAAGAACAUAGAUUCCCGAUGACCGAGAAGGAGCAAGGAACCUCGCGGUGGAGCGUCCGCACUCAUAAUAUUUUAUAUUAUUCAGCGAUAUAAAAUCAACCAAAUCUCUCAGCAUUCCUAUACCAUUCUAUAGUGUGAGAAUAACUUUGAAUGAUACCUCUGUGGGACACCUAGUUAUAGUAUAUCCAGCGGCCCGUAUCGCUUCUCGCUCCUCGUCCUUAUAGCCUGCCGACUGUACCUUAUAUACACUUGCUCUUUGAGCAAAGGCCUCCCUAAGCACGCAUUAAUUUCCAGGGCAUGCUUCUCUAUACUCAAUGUUGCGUGCACUUUGAGCAUGUUGGCAACUUCACUGCUAGCUUGUUGGCUCAUCUUGCAAUUGACGCUAACACAUUGCAGCACUCCUGCAAGGCCCAGAGGUUAAUUUGAGAACAAGUACC
rnacentral:lncRNA from 1 species